rnacentral:piRNA from 1 species
UAUUCUUCAUUAUCAGGUCAAACAUGUUCC